rnacentral:rRNA from 1 species
UACGUAGGGCGCAAGCGUUUGUCCGGAAUUAUUGGGCGUAAAGAGCUCGUAGGCGGUCUGUCACGUCUGCCGUGAAAACCCGAGGCUUAACCUCGUGGCUUGCGGUGGAUACGGGCAGACUAGAGGUAGGUAGGGGAGAACGGAAUUCCCGGUGUAGCGGUGAAAUGCGCAGAUAUCGGGAGGAACACCGGUGGCGAAGGCGGUUCUCUGGGCCACUACUGACGCUGAGAAGCGAAAGCAUGGGGAGCGAACAGG